UACGAAGGGGGCUAGCGUUGCUCGGAAUCACUGGGCGUAAAGGGCGCGUAGGCGGCCAUUCAAGUCGGGGGUGAAAGCCUGUGGCUCAACCACAGAAUUGCCUUCGAUACUGUUUGGCUUGAGUAUGGCAGAGGUUGGUGGAACUGCGAGUGUAGAGGUGAAAUUCGUAGAUAUUCGCAAGAACACCAGUGGCGAAGGCGGCCAACUGGGCCAUGACUGACGCUGAGGCGCGAAAGCGUGGGGAGCAAACAGG
rnacentral:rRNA from 1 species